AGUAUGGGGGUUUGGGGGGCAGUAUGGGGGGUUAUGGGGCAGUUAGGGGGCCCUAAGGGGGGUUAUGGGGCACUAUUGGCGGCUAUGGGGGAUUUGUGGGGCACUAUGGGGCACUAUGGGGUCCAUUUGGGGCCAUUCGGGGUAACUUUGGGGUCUCUGUUGUCACUUUGGGGUCCCUUUGGGGUCUCUGAUGUCUCCAUGGGUCCCUUUGGGUUCCUUUGGGGUCCCUUUGGGGCCAUUUGGGGUAACUUUGGGGUCACAUUGAGGACAUUGGGGUCCCUUUGGGGUCCCUUUGGGGCCAUUUGGGGUAACUUUGGGGUCUCUUAUGUCCCUUUGGGGUCAUUUGGGGUCUCCGAUGUCCUUUUGGGGUCCUUUUGGGGUCCCUUUGGGGUCAUAUUGAGGCCAUUUGGGGUCACAUUGAGGCUAUUGGGGUCCUUUUGGGGUCUCCGAUGUCCCUUUGGGGUCCCUUUGGGACCUUUUGGGGUCCCUUUGGGGUCCCUUUGGGUCAUUCUGGGGCCAUUUGGGGUCCCUUUGGGGUCUCCGAUGUCCUUUUGGGGUCCCUUUGGGGCCGUUUGGGGUCAUUUGGGGUCUCUGAUGUCCCUUUGGGUCCUUUUGGGGUCCCUUUGGGGCCAUUUGGGGUCCCUUUGGG
rnacentral:lncRNA from 1 species